GAUGAACGCUGGCGGCGUGCCUAAUACAUGCAAGUCGAGCGAACAGACGAGGAGCUUGCUCCUCUGACGUUAGCGGCGGACGGGUGAGUAACACGUGGAUAACCUACCUAUAAGACUGGGAUAACUUCGGGAAACCGGAGCUAAUACCGGAUAAUAUAUUGAACCGCAUGGUUCAAUAGUGAAAGACGGUUUUGCUGUCACUUAUAGAUGGAUCCGCGCCGCAUUAGCUAGUUGGUAAGGUAACGGCUUACCAAGGCAACGAUGCGUAGCCGACCUGAGAGGGUGAUCGGCCACACUGGAACUGAGACACGGUCCAGACUCCUACGGGAGGCAGCAGUAGGGAAUCUUGCGCAAUGGGCGAAAGCCUGACGGAGCAACGCCGCGUGAGUGAUGAAGGUCUUCGGAUCGUAAAACUCUUUUAUUAGGGAAGAACAAAUGUGUAAGUAACUAUGCACGUCUUGACGGUACCUAAUCAGAAAGCCACGGCUAACUACGUG
rnacentral:rRNA from 1 species